rnacentral:rRNA from 1 species
GACAUAGGUGGCGAACGUUAUCCGGAAUUAUUGGGCGUAAAGGAUGCGUAGAUGGUAGGAUAAGUUAUUGGUCGAUGUCAAACUCAAUUUGACGGAAGCUGGUAAUACUGUUCUGCUAGAGGGCAGGAGAGGUUGACGGAAUUCUGUGUGGAGCGGUGAAAUGCGUUGAUCUACAGAGGAACACCAAAAAAGGCGAAGGCAGUCAACUAUUCUGUUCCUGACAUUGAGGCAUGAAAGCGUGGGGAGCAAACCGG